rnacentral:rRNA from 2 species
ACGGCGAGUGAAGCGGCAACAGCUCAAAUUUGAAAUCUGGCCCUUGGGUCCGAAUUGUAAUUUGUAGAGGAUGAUUUUGGUGCGGUAUCUUCCGAGUUCCUUGGAACAGGACGCCUUAGAGGGUGAGAGCCCCGUACGGUUGAAUGCCUAGCCUCUGUAAAUCUCCUUCGACGAGUCGAGUAGUUUGGGAAUGCUGCUCUAAAUGGGAGGUAAAUUUCUUCUAAAGCUAAAUAUUGGCCAGAGACCGAUAGCGCACAAGUAGAGUGAUCGAAAGAUGAAAAGCACUUUGAAAAGAGGGUUAAAUAGCACGUGAAAUUGUUGAAAGGGAAGGAUUUGUGACCAGACUUUUUCUGGGCGGAUCAUCCGGGGUUCUCUCCGGUGCACUUUGCCCAGUAAAGGCCAGCAUCGGUUUUCGGCGGGGGAUAAAAGCAGUAGGAAUGUGGCUCUCUACGGGGAGUGUUAUAGCCUAUUGUAUAAUACCCUGCUGGGGACCGAGGUACGCGCUUCUGCAAGGAUGCUGGCGUAAUGGUUAUCAAUCACCCGUCUUGAAACACGGACCAAGGAGUCGAACAUUUGUGCGAGUGUUUGGGUGUUAAACCCUCACGCGUAAUGAAAGUGAACGGAGGUGAGAGCCCUUACGGGUGCAUCAUCGACCGAUCCUGAAGUUUUCGGAUGGAUUUGAGUAAGAGCAUAACUGUUCGGACCCGAAAGAUGGUGAACUAUGCGUGGAUAGGGUGAAGCCAGAGGAAACUCUGGUGGAGGCUCGCAGCGGUUCUGACGUGCAAAUCGAUCGUCAAAUCUGCGCAU